AACGUAGGUACCGAGCGUUAUCCGGAUUUACUGGGCGUAAAGCGCGUUCAGGCGGUACGGCAAGUCGGGCGUGAAAUCUCUCGGCUCAACCGGGAGAGGUUGUCCGAUACUGCCGGACUAGAGGGCAGUAGAGGGUGGUGGAAUUCCGGGUGUAGUGGUGAAAUGCGUAGAGAUCCGGAGGAACACCAGUGGCGAAAGCGGCCACCUGGACUGCACCUGACGCUCAAACGCGAAAGCUAGGGGAGCGAACGGG
rnacentral:rRNA from 1 species